rnacentral:rRNA from 1 species
CACCGGAAAGCCGUGGAGACAUGGCCUCCGUAAGGCCGGUGUACAGGUGGUGCAUGGCUGUCGUCAGCUCGUGUCGUGAGAUGUUGGGUUAAGUCCCGCAACGAGCGCAACCCUUGUCCCAUGUUGCCAGCGGGUGAUGCCGGGGACUCAUGGGAAACUGCCGGGGUCAACUCGGAGGAAGGUGGGGACGACGUCAAGUCAUCAUGCCCCUUAUGUCC